CUUUAACUUUGCACACUAACUCCUUAGACUGAACCUUGUUUGAAAGCUGUAGGCGUCAACGGACAAGGCAAACAGUGGAAUUCAAUCUGGUGAUGUUUGAGGAAAGAAGCUGGGAAGGGCAAACAAGGUCACUGCAAAAUGAUCACAAUGGAAAGGCAUGGGAACGCAUUCACAGAUGAAACUGCAAAAAAAAGGCAGCAUGGGAAAGAAUAAAGAAAAUGGAAGAAAACCUGAUUACUGAAACUAUGGAAACUAAGUUGAACUCUGAAUCACAGAUGAACAUACAAGAUAUUCAAGAAAUACAAAAUCAAUGCUUAGACCAAGAGAAGUGAUCCUGGUUGGAAAAGGGCGGGUUGUUAAAUGAUGGUGGAGUAUGGAGAUAUGACACUAGUCAUACAUAGACAAGUGGCCCCAACUGAACUGCCUCCUUAUCUGGUGCAGCAGAUGCACUCCCUAGGAUACAUGGGUGUGCAAAAGAUGAUUGACAGAUUAUCUCAGUGGUGGUGGAAUCCAAAGUUCAGGAUGCAAGCUCAACAAGCAGUCUGCUUCUCAACAGGAUUCUGCUGCUUGGAGUGGCCCACCAGAAGGAGGGUGCACCCUGAUUCCUGGCAAGUGGGUCCUGGUCAAGAAACCGCAUCAGCAAUCCCUGGGAGCUCGGCGGGAAUGUCCUUAGCAAGUGCUGUUUAUUACCAAUUUGGCAGUCAAUGUGCACGGAAGGAGUAGAUGGAUUCACACCAGCCACUGCAAGUCAACUAAAGUAACACCAGAUUAAGACCAGAAAUGCGAGAAGACUUUGAGAAAGUUGAUAAUUAUUGGACAUUAUGGAUUUUAUGUUUGCUGUUCUUAUAUUUACCUAUUUCUCCUACUCAUGAUGUGCCAUCUGAAAUGGCUCAUAAUGUAUAUUUAUGGGUAUACACUAAUAUACAGAUGUUGUUAAUUAUUCAGAUUGUCAGGUACAUCAAUAUAUACCACACACUUCAAACUAUUCACUAAUGCCAGGCAUUCCUGCAGAGCCAGUGAAUGUAUGUUCCCUUUUCAUUAAACAUUUCAGCAAUGGCAAUGUAGGGACUCUACCUGUGGUGCAUCAGUCUGACAAGAGACCUGAGUACAAAGUGGUCAUAGCCCACACAUAUCAUCUCAGACUGAGCCACUUAUGUGAAUUUGAUCAGCAUACUUUGAGAACUAACAUUGCUGAUGCCUUGAACAAGGUAACAACAGAAAUGAUUGCCACGUGCAAAACGGUUCUUCAGAACCAUAUGACAGCAGUUGGGGGGUGGGGGGGUAGUGGAACAUAUGCAGUUAUAGUUAAAGAAUGUUGCACCCACAUACCUGACAACUCCAAAGACGUAACUAAUUCAGCUGAUUGCAUUUGUAAAGAAGUUGCUCAGCUUCAUCAAACCAAUGGAUGUGAUUUCUUUAAUUGGAUUAAUUUCAGUCUCAGAAGCUGGAUUAAAAGCCAUAAUAUUCAUAUUAAUAUGUAUAAUCAUGAUCUUUAUUUUUGUGCUUGUUUGGAGACAAACAUUGCCAGAAUAAUCCAAGCUCAUAUAAGUGUGCUGGAAAUGUCCAGUCAUGAUGUAAUGCUACAAAUGCUUUGAAGAACUUGCAUAUGUUCUUAGAUAUUAUACAACUGAAGCUGAUUCUGAUUAUUCUGUAGUGUAGAUACUUCAAAGUUAUUUUGUCCCUGAAUUUUCAGACCAAAUGAUCCUAAAUGUGUGAUUUAUAAUCAAAGAGGGGAUUAUUGGAAUCUGUUGUUCUCUAUGUUUUAGUAAGAUUUACUUGAAUUAAUGAGUUUUGGCAAGAGUGAAUUUGAAUUUGUAGCUUCACUAUUAUAUAACAUAUUUUUGACUUGCAUUUUUCACAAUAUGUGGUGUCAAAUUCCACCUACUGGUGGCAAAAUUAUAUAACAAUUAUAUAAUAUUUUGUCACCUUUCAUUUUUGGUAUAAAAGGAUCUGUUUCUACAAAAUCGCCAUCUUAGUUCUUGGCUCUUUGUCCAUUAGAUUCUGCUCCUCUCCUAGUAGCAAAACAAUUACUAUGUGCUCUGUGCCUGGUUCAUUGUUUUAACCUUUCAAUAAUUGUGAUGCAGCAAGUUUUCAACUUAUUCUUGGACUCCUGAAAGAACCUGUGGUUUGGGAAUCACCAGAUCCAAAACCACCCUGGAGGUCCUGUCCUGUAGCUUAGCACCUAACACCCUGAUCUCACUUCGCAGGAAUUUGCCACCCUUCCUACCCAUGUUAUUGGUACCAACUUGGAGCACAAUUUCUGCUGCUCACCCUCCCACUUAGGAACGACUCGAACCAAUAUAUCCCUGACCUUGGCACCCAGGAGUUAACAUAUCAUCCAGGAAUCUUGUUCUUCACCACAGAACCUCCUGCCUGUUUCUUUAACCAUUGAAUCCGCUAUUAUUACAGCUCACCUCAUCACCCCACUUCAGUUCUGAGCAACAGAGCCAUACUCAGUGCCAAAAACCUGACAGCUGUAGCUUUUGUCUGCUAGUUCAACCCCUUCAACAGUAUCUAAAGCAGGCAUGGGCAAACUACGGCCCGGGGGCCAUAUGCGGCCCAUUAAGCUUUUUAAUCCGGCCCGCAGAACUUGAUGAAAUUAUAUUAAUAAACCUUGUUAACGUUUUUUCCCCGCACUUCUGGCGUUUACCCAAUAGAUGACGCACUCUGUAUACAUUUGUGGUGACCCAUUUCCUGGCACAUCCGAACCGGCUCACAAUUAGCCAGCGUUCCGGCUAAGGGAGAUA